CCACGGGGGGCAGCAGUGGGGAAUAUUGGACAAUGGGCGAAAGCCUGAUCCAGCCAUGCCGCGUGUGUGAAGAAGGCCUUCGGGUUGUAAAGCACUUUCAGUGGGGAAGAAAGCCUUGGGGCUAAUACCCUCGAGGAAGGACAUCACCCACAGAAGAAGCACCGGCUAACUCCGUGCCAGCAGCCGCGGUAAUACGGAGGGGUCGAGCGUUAAUCGGAAUUACUGGGCGUAAAGCGCGCGUAGGCGGUCUGAUAAGCCGGUUGUGAAAGCCCCGGGCUCAACCUGGGAACGGCAUCCGGAACUGUCAGGCUAGAGUGCAGGAGAGGAAGGUAGAAUUCCCGGUGUAGCGGUGAAAUGCGUAGAGAUCGGGAGGAAUACCAGGGGCGAAGGCGGCCUUCUGGACUGACACUGACGCUGAGGUGCGAAAGCGUGGGUAGCAAACAGGAUUAGAUACCCCGGUAGU
rnacentral:rRNA from 1 species